UUCCCGAAUCCCUCCGAUGUUUGAGGAUUGUCCGUCCGACGUGUCCACGUGGAGUCCGGCCUCCGGGUGAUGAAUUGAUCGCAGUGGUGUCGGCAAGCGUUAGUGUUGACAUGAUGACGGACGAUGUCUGCGUUCAGUGUUUGCGCAAGGCCGACUGCUAGAUUGCCUGUUGUUUCAACCCUCUGGGGGGGGGCGGGGUUAGGGUUGUUCAGCGGGGGUCCUAAUGAGUCAUGGGAAGGAUCAUUUCUUGGCAAUAACGUUUGCGAGAAAUUCCCCCGAUAACAAUCGAAGGCCAACGAUGACGUGCGUGCCACACGGACGGCCGCAUGCCGAGCGGGCGGGACGCGUUGGCGCCCUUUUGCCCACACGGCGCGUUUCCCGUCGCAGCGUGCGCGCAUGUUUUCCCGGACGUCUCCGUGCUUUGUGCGCUCGUAGCAUCACGCUUGGCCGGGGGGGCUGCAACAAAAUGCCAACUUGUUCCCACUUCGCACCCACAGCACGAUGACCACAUCAAAGUGCUGAAAGUGUCAAUCAAGCCCACCUGCGGCCGGCGGCAACAGGAAACGCAGCUCGAGUGGCGCGUUUUUACAAGCAGACCGACAUUGGAUAGGACGCCAUUACGCACACUGGAAAGUCUCAUGAUUCAUGGCGGCCGUAAUGAGCUCGAUUUGAGCAACAACAUCCAUCACGCUGCGGGCGGGAGCUUAGCAACAUGCUAGCAACAACAAUAACAAGGCAAGUCAAACAAACGAGCGCUCGCUCCCCAGGCCGGCAACAUUUGCGGCAAAAAUACGCUCGCUCGGCUUACGCGUUGUGAUGAUAACGGGUUGCGCGAGAGGGAGCUGGGGCCUAUCCCAGGUGACGCCCCGGACCGGUCGCCAGUCCGCGGCAGAGCACAUAUAGACAAACGACGGACCGGUCGCCAGUCCAAUCUAGGGACAACGAAGCUCAACCGGUCUUUGGAAUGUAGGAAGGAAAAUUCAAGCAACCGAGGGGGGAAAAAAAAGCACUGAGGUUUGAACCCUGAACUCCAGAAGUGUGGGGCACUUUUGCUCCCCACUACGGCGCCGUGCCGCCCUGCAUUGUGGAACCUUGUGAAAAUGUUGUUUCACGGGAGUUAUAAGAGGAGGCGGAUUGUGUUGUUGCUUAGGAGCAAAAGUUGACCGUCGCAGAGACCAAACGAUGGCGCGAGCAACGACAUCAUUCCGAAAUCCCUUCGUGUAUUCACGCAUCAUUUGGUGAGCUCACUGGAUGAAUAAAGUUGUUUUGUGUCUUGCCUUUUUGGAGAGGGCUCUGGUGUGAUCUCGCCGAAAAGAAAGUCCGGGCCAAAAACGCCUUCAAAUACGAGCAAAGCGGCGUAACAGCAGACAGGAAAAUGCGCAAACAUAACUUGAUGACGGUCCGGUUCGCCGUUUGGAAAAUUGGCCAAAAUGUCGAUGAUUGCUUUCCAAAGUAAAAGCCGAUGAUUUAGCAAAUGGCUUAUUUUGAAAAAACACAAAAACAAAUCAAUCUGUUUCCAUGGAGGACGACAGAAAUCGGGUCUCCGAACGACUGAUCGAUCAACAAAAUAGUUGUUGAUCGAUCAGUUGUUGAUUCAACUGAUCCAUUGUUACACCUCAAAUGUUUUUGUUCCGAAGGAUUUGAGAGGGCUUUUUUUGUUGAGCGGGUCGUCCGGCGUUCGAAUCCCGGCUCCCGCUGUCUGCGUGUCCAAGUGUCUUUGGCCGAGACACUGAACCCUAAUUUGCCCCCAGUGGGCCCGGCAGCGCCAGCGGCAGCCCAUUGGUGGAUGGAAGAAUCCAUCCAUCCCUCCAUCCGAGGUCGGGUCGCGGGGGCGGUAGCUUUAGCGGGGACCCCCCAGCCACUUCAUCCAGCUCUUCCGGGGGGAUCCCGAGGCGUUCCCGGGCCGGCCGAAGGACGUCGUCGUCCCCGGGGUCUCCUCCCGGCGGGACGCGCCCGGACCACCUCACCGGGGAGGCGUCCGAAUCAGAUGCCCACGCCGCCUCAUCUGGCUCCUCUCCAUGCGGACCCCUGUAUGAAUGAAUGGGCGAAUGUGAAGCGCUUUGGGCACUGUGAUGGUGUAGCGAAAGCGCUAGAGAAGUGCAGUGCAUUUACCGUUUACCAUUGGCGGCUGGCGACCGCUCUGUCGUGCGUUUGUUACUCUUCGCAGCUGCUAUCGACGGCCGGCCGGCUGUGAGAACCGCUCGGACGCUUGAUGACAACGGUAACAACACAUAACACGACAACACGCAUGACAACAGUGUGUGUGUGUGUGUGUGUGCGCGUGCGCGUCCCACUGCCGAGAUGACGAAUUCAAUGCCGAGGCCUUAAAUCGAAAGCAAUGUUUUUUUGCGUGCUUGUUUAUCUGACGGCGACGUUGGGAGCGUUAUCGUCGCUGGCGUCGGCGUAUCUCGUAGCAAAACAUUCUCGCGCCGGCGAGACGACGCUCGGCUUUUGCGAGCGCAUCGACGCACGCGGGGAGUCAAGCCAUCCGCUUACUUGUGCGAGAAAUUGUGCGUCUCCUUUUUAUUGAGUUGUUUUAAUGGCCCAUUUGACUUGAGUACUUUGUUAACAAGAAACAAUACUUUGGAGCUACGUUUGACUGGCUAUUUUUAUUUGUAUUCCUCUGCUGUUGCUUGCGCAAUGUAAAAGCUCAAAAUGUAAAAUCGAAAUCUACAAAUUGCACCUUAGUCGAUUUCAAUAAAAGGAACUCAAUCAUGGAAUGAGCUAACGCCGGAACUUAAGAAUAUUAAAUUACGUCCGCGCUUCAAAUCUAAAAUAAAAAUAUCUGUCCUGAUCCCUAUUGUUCAUAGAGCACCAUUUUCAUGUAAAUAUUGAAAUUCCCAUGUAUCCAGAUUUUCUUUCAAUUUCCAUUGGUAUGUAAUUGAAUAAUCCAAAUUUCAGAGACUUCAGUCCAAUGACUUGACUGAGUUGAACUACUUGACUUGACAAAUCAUCUCGUUUAGAGUUGGACACUUGGCCUUUUUUUUUUUUUUUGAAAGUAAGAAAGGUUUUCUAUCUAAAAACUUCCAGAAAGAAGUUGUUCCUCAGCCUGGCGGUUCUGCACCGGAUGCUCCGUAGCCCCCCGCCCGAGAGUGGCUCGAGUCUUCGAUGAUGCGCUUUCCCUCGUUGCCGUCGGCGGCGGGGAGGCCGCACCCGCGAUCUUCUGAGGAGCCUCCACGGUCGCUCUCUGCUGCUUGGCCACACCGUGACGCCGAUGCGUGUGUGUGUGUGUGUCAAGAUGGCAGCAGCAAUCAUUUCAGGCAGGCCCUUGAAAUCAACGAAAUCUAUUUGUUCAGACAAGCGGGGUACGCCCUGAACCGCUCGCCAGCCAAUCGCAGGGCACAUAGAAACAAACAACCGUUCGCACCUACGGGCAAUUGAGAGUCUCCAAUUCAUGCAUGUUUUGGGGAUGCGGGAGGAAAGCGGAGUGCCCGGAGAAAAGCCACGCAGGCACGGGGGAGAACGCGCAAAGUCCACACAGGCGGGGCCGCGGCUCGAACCCCGGUCCUCGGAACUGUGAGGCAGACGCGCUGACCGGUCGUCCACCGCGCCGCCGCCCUCGAAAUCCUUUUCGGAAAGAAUUAGUUUUCUUGUGCGGCAUCUUUGAAUGCAACAAGCGGCGCCUUAUGUCCAAGAGCCUGCUGAGCGAGGAGACGCAAGCGCAGGCGUGUGUGCUCGUCUAUGUGCGAACAACGCCGGCCGUCGCGCAGAAUGACGACACGCUCGGUAAACACGUUCGUGUUCCGAAGUGCGUGCGGGGGCCGGGGGGUUGUUUGGCAGGGGCGGUGUGCGGUGGGGGUCGAGCUCGUCUGCACAAUAUUUGCUUUUGUGCGGCGGCUGCCAGCGAAAAUGUGAAGCGGGCCCGCUGGACAAUCGACUCCAGUUUGUAAAGUCUCCGUGUGACGGAAACCCUUUUUUUAGAUACCGUUUAUGAGCCACACGGACGUCGAGACUUUUGUCAGUCACGUGGAAUUGAAUGAGAAGUCGACAGGUUCCGUACCGCGGCCGUCGGAUUGUUGGAUUCUAAUUUGCGCUGCGGACAAAGAUGCAUUGCGCUGAACUUUCUUUGGAUUUUGGCCCGUUACAAAAGACCAAUCGACCAUUCGAUCAAAUGUCAGCUUGUCGAAGUUGACAACUGUGUGUGAUAUUUUAAAAGUCGCGGAGUAGACAUGAGUCACUCGUCCAGUAAUGUUGGAUGAAGUCAUACGCAACAACACACACACUGUAUAGCGUGUCGUGUGUGCGUGUUGCCAGCAAAUACUCAAUAAUGACUGCUAAAAGCUAAGCUAAGCUAAGCUACAGUAAAGUGUGUGUGUGUGUGUGUGUGGACGCUUGAACAGGGACAAUUGGAACACUCGACAUACUUUCAAUGAAGACGAUCACUUUUAUUCUUGUUGAGAAAUGUAUGAGCGUACAGAUUCUUACACACUUAUGAGCAUACUUUAUGCUGUACGGAUUUUGAAAGAGAUGACCGUGUCGUGCGCGUUGAAGACUUUUGCCCGUGUCGAGUGAGAGCGAACGAGCGCUCAUUUGGACUUGAAGUUUUGCAGGCGCAGCCGAUGCGUUUCGAUGGCGGCCGCGUGGAAAUCUCCAAAGUGUCACGUGACCUUCGGAAAGCCAAUCAACUUUAUGUUUAGUUUCUAUGCGCUCAUAACAACAUGUUGAAUUUCAUUCUGACGUUGUUGAGCAUUGUUUGGACGUGUCGUUCCGUCUUUGUAUCGAAUAAUAAGCGCGUUAAUCCGUAAUCGUCACAAGCAUUGAAUGCAGUCAAAAGUUUCCCAUUCAAAUGCACUCGAGCGUGUGUUGAUCGUGUGUGUGUGUCAGAGAGACGCGUGUACCGCAUGUCGGCGUGUCCGGCGUAGUGCAUGGAAAUAUGUUUUUCAUUCUGUUGGCCUCUUGUUUUUGCUGACUGGUCGUUUGCCCCCCGGCGCCGCCGUGACAUCGUCUUUGUGUUUGCCAAAGAUAAAGAAAUGUGAAGCACUUUGGCGGCGGGUCACCUUCCGUGGGGACGUUCGGGGGCAAGCGGUGAUGUCACAGCUGGAGAAUAUCCCCCAAUCCCUCCUGACUCGAUGUUUGAGUCAAGCAAAGUGCGAACACAUUGUGGCCUUUGACCCGCUUCAACACGGGCUGGCGCCGAUCCGCAGCACAACACAUCAAACACCAGGAUGGGGGGGGGGGGGGCCUCUCGACCGUUCCAUCCAUCGCCCGCACUUUGAACUUGGUGUGAACUCCGCCUCGCCACACUUGACUUUUCCCUUCGUGUGCUUGCGUUUCACUUGCUGUGCGCCUCGGUGGGAUCGGACGAAGCCGGGCCGAUGACAUCAUCCCGGGGCCCUGAGGCCCGCGCAUCUCAACGCAAACGUGACGAACACAAGCGCCUUACUUUUCGGGACGUUUUUCUUCUUAGGACUUUGAACGCGCUUGUUGACCGAGAAGAGGAGGAGCCAAAGACGUUGGACCAGCGAAACAUUUCAUCUGCAGCUUUUUGAUUGGAGCAAAACUUGACUGCUCAGUGAGUGUUUUUUUUUGUUUGUUUGUUUUUUUCCCCCCUCAAUGUCUUUGUGUCUCCAAAGCGUUCUCUGUCAAUUGACCGUCUGUCGUCGUACUCGAGCGGCUCCGACGAGCGGACGCAAAUUCCUUGUGUGGUUUUUUUUCUGGGACAUACUUGGCAAAAUAAAAUGAUUCUGAUUCUGAAAUGA